GGGGAAUAUUGGACAAUGGGGGAAACCCUGAUCCAGCCAUGCCGCGUGAAUGAUGAAGGCCUUCGGGUUGUAAAGUUCUUUUGGUGGGGACGAUAAUGACGGUACCCACAGAAUAAGCUCCGGCUAACUUCGUGCCAGCAGCCGCGGUAAUACGAAGGGGGCUAGCGUUGUUCGGAAUUACUGGGCGUAAAGGGCGCGUAGGCGGUAUAAUAAGUCAGGUGUGAAAGCCCUGGGCUCAACCCAGGAACUGCGCUUGAUACUAUUAUUCUUGAAUUCGGGAGAGGUGAGUGGAAUUCCCAGUGUAGAGGUGAAAUUCGUAGAUAUUGGGAGGAACACCGGUGGCGAAGGCGGCUCACUGGACCGACAUUGACGCUGAGGCGCGAAAGCGUGGGUAGCAAAC
rnacentral:rRNA from 1 species